GUUCUUCAAAAUACAUUUCUAUGUAUUUAUGUUAUAGUUCUUCAAAAGUCCUUUGAAACACAUUGAAGAAAUGAAACUUAAACAUUAUGUGAAGGUUAGUAGCAUGUAAACCGGUACCCCAAACACAACAACAACAACAACAACAACAACAACAACACUUAAAGGUAAAUAUGUCAUUUUUUAUUUGGUUACAUUUGAACAUUUAAAAUGAAUCAACACCAUGCAAUCAGCAUCAGUCUGACCCACUGCUUCCUCUAGCUGCACACUCUAAGCCAUCGCAUCGCAGCGCAUCGCGUCGCAGCGUAUCGCAUCUUAACAUCCAAGCCUGCAGUGAGGGGAGACACUCUUCCGGUCCCAAGCUGUGUCACUGUCUUGGUGCAGUAGGUUACAGUACAUACAGGAAGCACGAGCAUGGAGACAACUAAAGCACACGUCUGUGAAGCACAGGACACCAGCAGACAGGGGGGCAGCACUACUAGAGAGAGAGAGGGAGAGAGAGAGAGAGGGAGGGAGAGGGAGAGAGAGAGAGAGAGGGAGAGAACGAGAGGGGGAGAGAGAGAGAGAGGGAGGGAGAGAGAGGGAGGGAAGGAGAGAGAGAGAGGGGGAGAGAGAGGGAACAAGAGAGAGAGGGGGAGAGAGAGAGAGGGAGAGAGCGGGAGAGGGAAAGAGAGAGAGAGAGGGGGAGAGAGAGAGCGGGAGGGAGGGAGAGAGGGGGAGAUGGCAGGUGGACUAGGCAGGGUGUGGUGACUGAGAGGGCGUUCUCAGACUGAACCAAUGCUGCUGGGACUAUGGACAUUCAGAUUGUGUCAUGUAGAUAUUCAGGGUGGUAGGGGAGGGGUUCUCCAGUGUUACCCCUGGGGUUACCCCUGGGGCUCGUGCAGUAUUAAUAAAUUAGGACACAAACAGAGAGCAUAAAGUGGCAGUUUCAUAUGUAGGCAGUACACUGCACAAGGAGGCAUAGCACAGUGACUUAGAAAGACCGAUACUGAGAGAUAAGCGGCAUGUCUCUAAACUAAGCCAUCACUUAAAACAUUUGAGGAAUGAAAUUUUUUUUUAAGUUCUUAAGUUCUACUUUGAUAAGUAAGUCAAUCAGAACCUUUGAUAACCAAAUCAAUCUAUAUCCAGUGAGAAAGAGAGAGAGGGAGCCUCUUUGCUGAUCCUGAAUAAAGGCACUGUGGUUUGGUUCAACAUAAAACCGAUUUUUUUUUUGAAUUCUCCGAUUUCGACACUAAUUAUGCUGGGCCACUUUCUGGUUGUCAAAAGCAUGAAAACAAUGACCACAAAUAUUAACAUCAUUAUUUUUUUUUUUUGGCGUUGCCUGUCCUGUACAUGGCCACAGCUUUGACCACCAGUGGUGUUGUGGACAUCCACCCCCUGCAUUGCGUAUGAAGGACGUGUGCCUCUGUCUCUGUGCUGCAGGACUGUCUGAUUGGAUGAUCAGCGUCUCCGCAGCAGUCAGAAGAAACACAGCCGACACAUUUCCAAUGCAGGACAAUCAUUUACCAGCUCCGCCAAGGAGGGGAUGUUUUCAUUACCGUUUGUUUGUUUUGUCUGUCUGUCUGUCUGUUUGUCAGCAGAAUUAGAGACGACGCUUCCAGGCCCGAUUUUCAUGAAACUUGGUGGAGAGGUGCAUCAUGGGUAGAGGAAAAAAAAAACAUUACAUUUUGGAGUGGAUCCCAACCAAGGGGGCGGAACCAGGACUUUUUUUUUCACUUCCUUUGACAUUUUUUGGCAAGAGUGGACAACUGGCCUUGGCAGAGGUCUGCACUCCACAAGUGCCCUUCUAGUUCCAACAUCCAAUCAUUGAGCGCCUUUUUGGAAAAGCCAGUCAUAGCAGCUAACCUUAGGAAUGGGUCUGGCCAUGACACGGCCCAGGUGUGGCACAGGUCUGGCCCACGUCUGGCACAUGUCUGGCACAGGUCUGGCACAGGUCUGGCCCACGUCUGGCACAGGUCUGGCCCACAGCUGGUACACUGAGUCAAGUGAGCUGAUGACACACACAAGGCAUACACUACAUCUGGCAAGGGUUCCACCUCUAACAAAAUAUGCUGACCCUGAUUCCUUAGAACUAUAGAACAAUAGAAUCAUUAGGGGUGCUCUUUAACGGAGUUCAGUGACGAAGCAAAUAAAUUAAAUUUUAGAUAUGUGAUUACGUACAUUCCAUUUGUUUGACGAGACUCUUUGACAACAGUGGCAGGGUUCCCACUGAAAGGUUCUGAGUGGUCCUGGGUUAGAACUCCAGUGGAAAGGGCGACUCCCCAUUCAAACUGCACUGUAGUCCAGAACAACAGCAAACCCUUAUCUAGAGGCCCAUCCCUGUGUGCCUACAUGCCCCGUGAUUUACCAUAACAUCUGCAAGUUUAGAUUAAUAAAUAAGAAUACAAUUGAAAUCAACAGAGUAAGUGGAAACCAAAUAUACAAAACAAAACAAAACAAAAACAACAUAAUAGUACACUCAUAGUCAUUUUGAUAAGUGAAUAUCUUAGUUACAGUGCAAAAUAACGACAGGCAACAUGAGUUAGAGUGAAAUACAUUACAGAGGAGGAGUCUACACUCCUGAUACGUACUCCAUUGGGCCGUCAUGUCAGGGCUAAACCUUCAUUAUAAUGGGGGAUAAUCUGAGUAUUUACAGACAGUAUGCCUUCUGAGUACACAUGAUACUACACAUGAUAAGGGUAUGGGGUACACGCAGGCUCUUCUGGUUAGCGCUAAGUAUGAAAUCAGAUGCUAACUGCUAAUGUUGUGUCUUGUGUUUAUAUAUAUAGCUGCUUCUAAUCCAUUACAGAAAUGUUUGACAGGCUUUAAAGGUCUGACAGGAUUUAUAAUGGUCUGCUAUUGUAUCUUACAUGACUUCAGUACAAAUGUAACUGAUCGGGGAUGUGUAUGCUGCUGAGCUGUUAGCUAUUCAUUUCUUGCGAUUCAAAAACAAUGAAUCAAAUUUCUGAUGUAAAGCUGGUGCCCCUAAAGCCUGAAUGAGGAAACGGACUUGACUUCAAGUCUUGGCCUUCCCUUUCUCGCUCACGUCUUUAGUCGUCCUGAGUUCCACAACGCCAGACGCAGAUCAUCAUGUCUCUCUUUGUACACGCCUCAUGACUACUGGCCUGGGUCAUACAGACCCGUUUCCUAGGAGACGCUGGGCAGGAUGAGGCAACAGACCAGACACACGCACCCCAUCCUACACCAGAGUCUUCUGCUAGCAGGAAGAGCCUGCUUUCUACACUACACUACGCUAUGCUACGCUACACUACGCUACACUACGCUACACUACACUACACUACACUACACUACAUAAUUACCCAUAGAGGAAGAGACGCUGAACAUGUCCAAGUUCUUCUAAAUGUUU
ensembl:lncRNA